UGGCAUAGUCCUUUUCCACAUUGAUAGGGCUGAUUUUUGUAACCAGUAAGAUACUGUGGAAAUAGUAGUGUAUGACUCCCUAGGCUGCAUCACAAAAGACUUAAUUUUUGCCUUUUUCUCUCUUGGAAAGAAGACCCACCACGGGAAGCUUUGGGAAGAAGCCUGCUGCCAUGUUGUGAGAACACUCAAGCAGCUGUGUGGAGAGAUUCAUGUGGUGAGAAACUGAAGCCACCUACCAACCAUCAGCCACACCUGUGGAGCUGCAUGAGGACAUGCACCCAAGUAGCCUCAACCACAUCUGGACCUGAGACAGGAAGAAAAUAAGGCUCUGAAAACCGAAGUAACUGCUGAAAUACACAGAGCGAGUGAGGAGCGAAAUCUCAGCCCAGGAGAAACUGUAUCUUACUACUUAUUCAGCCAUAGAGCACCCACUGGUCAGAUACUGAUUCUUCAUUAAGUGUCAGCUCUGGGCCUGGUUGCUGGAGGAUGGGUUGGUGAUACAAAGAUGAAUAAGACUCAGCUGAGGAAUUGAAUCUCCAGAUUACGCCUGGUGGGAUACAGUACAUGUGUUUAAAUAUAAAGUAAUCUAUGACAUAAAAGAGGCAUAAGUGACACUUUUUGAAUUUUCAGAAGAACAAGAGAUCCCUUCCAACUGGGCGAUCACGAAAGCUUCAGGAAAAAGUGAUACUGAGCUGGGCCUGGAAGGAUGGAAAAGCUUCACACGUGGAGGUAUUAGGAGAGAUAAUUGGGUGAAGGAGGAGAAGAUUAGCUGCGAUACAAUACCUCUGUCAUUUGACGCCAUCUCUUUGAACAUGGAUCCUCGGCUUCCGCCUGCACAACCGUGUGGCAUGUCACAUCUCCCACAGAAAUGGAGGAAGAGCCUUCUUGCCUGAAACAGCAGGUACUUUCGUGAAGUUCAUUGUGAUGGUGCUUUUUAUUUGGCUGUCUUGGCCUUUUACCUGUUUUCUGAUUCUUGAACUGGCAUUGCUCUCUUGUGCCUGUGCGUUUUCUGGUUUCUAAUUGCCAGCUUGGUUUUUAACCUACACACUUAAUCUGGACUCCUGAUAUGCAUGUGAUUUCUGACUGCUCAUUUGGCUCAGAGCCUUAUUGACUUUUCCUGUUCUCAGUCCCGCCUGUAAUUCCUAGACUUGUUGUAUUUUUCUACCUGGCUUCCCACCCUGGCUCUGGGACUCUGUCAACACCAGUCUUGAUCCAAUAGAGAGACUCGAUCUCACUGGGCAGCCAGGUAGACAAAAGGACUGGUGAAGGGGCUGACAAGCUCACAUCUUCAUCUGGCAUUUUGCACAAUUCUCAUGGCCUUUCUGAUCAUGGAGUUGACUUUAUGUAAUAAGAGUUCAAAGAAGGCUUGAACAGAAAAACAUUUUGUAAUCAAGAUGCAGUAAUUGUUAUUCUUUCCAGUUGUUGGGUUAGCUACACCUCUGUCAAUUGUAACACAGAGUUCCAAAUUUAUAUUGAAUUCCUGUGGUGUCCUGAAAUUGGGGUCAGACCCCUUUCCAAAGAAGACCAGACAUAUAUCUGUGACAUAGGACCUUUGGUAUAGAAUUCAUGGGUAAUAAUUUCUGCUGCUCCUCCCUUAUUCUAAAUGUGAACAAAAGUCAGUUUUUCACGCAGGUCGAGUUACCAAAGUUGCAGUAGGUAAAUUACUAAAAAGUAGUAACUUUACUUGUGCGAAAUCCUACCUUACCUCAAUAGGAUAUCGUUAGAGGAAGGAGAAUUUCCACAUUCAAGAUAACAGAUCCACAUCAAGAUCUUCAGUUAGGAAAACCAGACUCAGUAUCAGAUCCUGGCAUAGCUCUGCCACAUUGUCUUGCAGGCAUGUUGAGAAUAUACAACUAUGUGUAAUCUCUUGGGCAAAGGAGCUCAAGAUUAAUU
rnacentral:lncRNA from 13 species